rnacentral:misc_RNA from 1 species
AACGCACCUUGCGCCCCUUGGUAUUCCGAGGGGCAUGCCUGUUUGAGUGUCAUUAAAUUCUCAACUCCAUUUGAUUUGUUUCAAACCUGGAGCUUGGACUUGGAGUGUGCUGGCGUUGACCGUCGGCUCCUCUCAAAUGCAUCGGCGGAAUUGAACCUUUGACUUUCGAACGUCAGUGUGAUAAUCAACGUUGCGCUGUCGACCGGGGUCGGAGCCCGCUUACAAUCGUCCUCGGACAACUUAUCAAAUUUGACCUCAAAUCAGGUAGGACUACCCGCUGAACUUAA